rnacentral:rRNA from 1 species
UACGUAGGGUGCAAGCGUUGUCCGGAAUUAUUGGGCGUAAAGCGUGCGCAGGCGGUUUGUUAAGCCAGAUGUGAAAGCCCCGGGCUCAACCUGGGAACUGCGUUUGGUACUGGCAAGCUAGAGUACGGCAGAGGGGGGUGGAAUUCCACGUGUAGCAGUGAAAUGCGUAGAGAUGUGGAGGAACACCGAUGGCGAAGGCAGCCCCCUGGGCCGAUACUGACGCUCAGGCACGAAAGCGUGGGGAGCAAACAGG